GUUCAUUACACAACACUAUUUAGAAAUGCAGAAAACCAACUGUGAAAUUUUAAAUGAGAAUACACUGUUUACCUGCUAAAUUCAAGAGAGGAAGAGAGGUCAGGGAGAAAGAAGGGACGAUGGUGAGGAGGAAAGAAAAAAAAAGAGACAGGAAAAGGUGAGAAGAAAGACAAUGCAAAGAAGUAGAAAGAGUGAGGAAAGAAAGUUAAAAGAACUAAGAGGUACAGGUGAUAAUGCUUUCCUGAGCUAAAGAUAAACAUCCCUUCCAGCCAAUAAUAUUUAUAAAAAUUUCUUCUCCAGCAUUCAGAAGGUGAAAGAAGAUCAUUACUCAGUAGGACCUCUUCAAAGGUUUUUAGGUGAGACUCCGUUAUCUCCAGCAUCACAAACAAAGCUGGAAGCAUUCCCCCUGAAAACCGGCACAAGGCAAAGAUGCCUUCUGUCGCCACUCUUAUUCAGCAUAGCAUUGAAAGUUCUGGCAAGAGCAAUCGAGCAAGAGAAAAAAAUAAAGUGCACCCAAAUCAGAAGAGAGGAAGUCCACCUAUCUUUGUUUGCAGACAACACGAUCCUGUAUCUAGAAAACCCCAUUGUCUCGGCCUAAACACUUCUUAAAGUAAGUAAGCAGAAAAGUCUCAGGAUACAAAAUCAAUUGCAAAAAUCAUUAGAUUGCCUAUACACCAACAACAGUCAAACCAAGAGCCAGAUCAGGAACAAACUCCCAUUCACAAUAAGGUAUUUUAAUCACAAAAACAUUAAAAUACCUAGGAAUACAGCUAACCCGGAUCUCUGCAAGGAGAACUACCCAAACCGCUGGUCAAAGAAAUCAGAAUGACACAAACAAAUGGAAAAACACUCCAUGCUCAUGGAUAGGAAGAAUCAUUAUUGUUAAAAUGGCUAUAUCGCCCAAAGCACUUUAAAGAUUCAAUGCUAUUUCUAUUAAACCACCAUUGAGAUUCUUCACAGAACUGGAAAAAAAAGUUAAAAAUUAAUAUGUAACUAAAAAAGAACCUGAAUAACUAAGGCAAUGCUAAGCAAAAAGAAGAAAGCUGGAGGCAUCACGCUAACUGACUUUGUACUACAGAGCUACAGCAACCAAAACAGCAUGGUACUGGUACGGAUACACAUAGACCAAAUGAACAGAAUAGAGAAUCCAAAAAUAAUACUGCACACCUACAACAAUCUGAUCUUUGGAAAACCUGACAAAAACAAGCAAUGGGGAAAGGAUUCCCUAUUCAAUAAAUAGUGCUGUGAUAACUGGCUACCCAUAAGCAGAAGAUUAAAACUGGACCCCUUCCUAACACCAUAUACAAAAAUUAACUCAAGAUGGAUUAGAGACUUAAAUGUAAAAUCUGAGACUAAAAAAACCCUGGAAGACAACCUAAGUAAUACCAUCCAGAACAUAGAAAUGGGCAAAGAUAUCAUGAUGAUGAUGAUAAAACCAAUUGUAACAAAAGCAAAAACUGAUAAGUGGGAUCUAAUUAAACUAAAGAGUUUCUGCACAGCAAAAGAAACAUCAACAGAGUAAACAGACAACCUACAGAAUGAGAGAAAAUGUUUGCAAAAUAUGCAUCUGACAAAGGUCUAAUAUCCAGCAUCUAUAAGGAACUUAAAUUUACCAAAAAAAAACCCAUAAAAAAGUGGGAAAAAGACUAGAACAGACACUUUUCAAAAGACAUUCAUGUGUCCAAUAUCAUAUUUUUUAAAAGAGCUCAAUAUCACUGAUUAUUAGAGAAAUGCAAACCAAAACCACAAUGAGAUACCAUCUCACAUCAGUCAGAAUGGCUAUUACUUAAAAGUCAGAAAAUAAAAGAUGCUGGUGAGGUUGUGGAGAAAAAGGAAUGCUUAUACACUAUUGGUAGGAGUGUAAAUUAGUUAAACCAUUGUGGAAGACAGUGGCGAUUCCUCAAAGACUUAAAAACAGAAAUACCAUUUGACCUAGCAAUCCCAUUACUAGGUAUAUACCCAAAGGAAUAUAAAUCAUUCUAUUAUAAAAACACAUGCACACAUAUGUUUAUUGCAACACUAUUCACAAGAGCAAAGACAUGGAAUCAACCUAAAUGCCCAUCAAUGAUUGAUUGGAGAAAGAACACAUGCUAUAUAUACACCAUGGAAGACUAUGCAGCCAUAAAAAAGAAUGAGAUCACAUCCUUUGCAGGGACAUGGAUGGAGGUGGAAGCCAUAAUCCUAAGCAAACUAAUGGAGGAAAAGAAUACUAGAUACCACAUGUUCUCACUUACAAGUGGGAGCUAAAUGAUGGGAACAUGUGGACACAUAGAGGGUAGCAACACAUACUGGUGCCUGUUAGAGGGUGGAGGGUGAGAGGAGGGAGAGAAUCAGGAAAAUUAUCUAACGGGAACUAGGCUUAAUACCUAGAUGAUAAAAUAAUCUGUACAACAAACCCCCAUGACACAAGUUUAACUAUGUAACGAACCUUCACUUGUACCCCUGAACUUAAAAUAAAAGUUAAAAAAAAGUGUAGCACUAUUGCGUCCAGAUUUUGUUUACUGUUGUUGUUGUCAUUUUUUAAUAGACUGUUUUAAGAAUCCUGUAUCAUCAAGACUCCUGUUGGCACAUAGGGCAGUAUUGUGUAGGAAGAGCUCAU
rnacentral:lncRNA from 10 species